rnacentral:tRNA from 1 species
GGGAAGGUGGCUCAGUGGUAGAGUGCUUGCCUUGCAUGCAUGAGGCCCUGGGUUCAAUUCCUCACUACCA